UACAGAGGUGGCAAGCGUUGUUCGGAAUUACUGGGCGUAAAGGGCGCGUAGGCGGUCUUGCAAGUCCUGUGUGAAAUCCCUCGGCUCAACUGAGGAACUGCACAGGAAACUGCUUGGCUUGAGUUCGGGAGAGGGAAGCGGAAUUCCGGGUGUAGCGGUGAAAUGCGUAGAUAUCCGGAGGAACACCAGUGGCGAAGGCGGCGACCUGGGCCAAUACUGACGCUGAGGUGCGAAAGCGUGGGGAGCAAACAGG
rnacentral:rRNA from 1 species